rnacentral:rRNA from 1 species
UACGUAGGGGGCAAGCGUUAUCCGGAUUUACUGGGUGUAAAGGGGGCGCAGACGGCGAUGCAAGCCAGGAGUGAAAGCCCGGGGCCCAACCCCGGGACUGCUCUUGGAACUGCGUGGCUGAGUGCAGGAGGGGCAGGCGGAAUUCCUGGUGUAGCGGUGAAAUGCGUAGAUAUCAGGAGGAACACCGGUGGCGAAGGCGGCCUGCUGGACUGCAACUGACGUUGAGGCCCGAAAGCGUGGGGAGCAAACAGG